rnacentral:rRNA from 1 species
AUACGUAGGAAGCGAGCGUUAUCCGGAAUUAUUGGGCGUAAAGAGCAUGUAGGCGGUCUGUCAAGUCUGAUGUGAAAGCCCCGGGCUCAACCCGGGAAGUGCAUUGGAAACUGGCAGACUUGAGUACGGGAGAGGAAAGUGGAAUUUCGAGUGUAGGGGUGAAAUCCGUAGAUAUUCGAAGGAACACCAGUGGCGAAGGCGGCUUUCUGGACCGAUACUGACGCUGAGAUGCGAAAGCGUGGGGAGCAAACAGGAUUAGAUACCCUGGUAGUCCACGCCGUAAACGAUGGGUACUAGGUGUUGCGGGUAUUGACCCCUGCAGUGCCAAAGCUAACGCAUUAAGUACCCCGCCUGGGGAGUACGGCCGCAAGGCUAAA